CUUUAAAAAACAACUAUCCACUAGCAAUUUUACUCUUUGACGCAUCAAACUCUAGAAACACUGAAUCGAAAUCAAUGCAAUCGUAGAAGAAUUUAAAAUAGUGUUUGAAGAACACUUAAGAACUUUCUAAAACAAAAAAAGAACUUGAAGAACAGAGAAGAGAAACUCGCCAAAAUCUUUAAAGCUUCUUGAAGUCUAUCUAAGUCACUUGAAAAAUGAAGGAUAUGAUAUUUUAAAAUGUAGAAAUUAAAGUUGCAUGCAUGCCAUUUGUUGAGCUUACCACAAGGCAAGUGUCUUGUGUGGGGUAACACAUUAAAGCUGCACGAUUUUCGAGCUGUGCAGACAACAAUUAAUAAUAAAAUAAUUAUAUACGUAUAUAAAUAAGAAAAGGCCUUAUACCAAUUACGGUGGCAAGAAGAAAGUCUUUGCAGUAAGAAAAAGUCUACGUGCCAAUUAAAUUUUGUUUGAAAUUUUUUUUGGCAAAUAGUCUUAUUUUAUUUGUUUAUAGUAAAGUUCUUUAGUAGAAAGUGAUGGAGAAUUCUUUGUGCAAUUUGAAAAAGUCUUUGAGUAAGAAAAAGUCUAUCUAUUAAUUAAGGGAG
rnacentral:lncRNA from 1 species